rnacentral:rRNA from 1 species
CCUACGGGUGGCUGCAGUAAGGAAUAUUGGUCAAUGGACGCAAGUCUGAACCAGCCAUGCCGCGUGCAGGAUGACAGCCCUACGGGUUGUAAACUGCUUUUGUACGGGAAAAAACCUCCGGUCGUGAAUCGGAGCUGAUGGUACCGUAAGAAUAAGCAUCGGCUAACUCCGUGCCAGCAGCCGCGGUAAUACGGAGGAUGCAAGCGUUAUCCGGAUUCAUUGUGUGUAGAGGGUGCGGUAAGGGAGUGGUGAAAUCCUACGGCUUAACUGUAGAAUUGCCAUGGAUACUGUCAUUCUUGAGUAUAGUUGAAGUGGGCGGAAUGUGUCAUGUAGCGGUGAAAUGCUUAGAUAUGACACAGAACACCGAUCGCGAAGGCAGCUCGCUAAACUAUCACUGACGCUCAUGCACGAAAGCGUGGGGAUCAAACAGGAUUAGAUACCCCGGUAGUC